ensembl:processed_transcript A430057M04Rik RIKEN cDNA A430057M04 gene
AGAGAGGGUUUCUGCCUAGCUCAAGGUCACACAGCCACGUGAGGUCCACCACGCUGGAAGUGGGGAGCCGGUUCUCGGUCCCAGUCCUACUGACCAGUCGCAGGCUCCGCAGCGCCGGGUGCUCUCUCAUGGAGCGGCUCAGCAGAUACUGCCACAGGGGAUUGUCCUCAGGUGGCAGCAGGCGCUCUUGCCGCCUGGACCCCCAUGGAGGCCACCGUUUCCCUGCCGGGGAGAGGGUGCCGAGUCAGGGCCUGCAUUUCUGACCGGGUUCUCCGGCUCUUCUCCGCGCCCUCCUCCCAUUCCCCGGACUGCAGCAGCCCAGCCCAGCUCACCCAGCAAGAGACCAGUAGCGAAGGCGGCGCCCAGCGCGGCCGAGCCCAGGGCCAGUGCGGCUGGGAUAGAUAGCCGAGGGACGGGCUGAGCCAUGGUGCAGGUUAGCAGCGGCGGCGGAGGUCACGUGUGCUGGAGUAGCGAGGAUGGGACUGGGACCAGUAAGCCGACAGGGCUCCACCUUGUCCGGGCCCUGCCCACAGAGCCGCGUCCUCGGGCACCAUCUGGUGACACAUGGCCGUAUUGCAAGGUCAGGCUGAGAACAUCUCGCCACCCGGUGGCUGCAUGCGGAACUGCGUCGGGUGAAAUCCUUUCUAGACUUCGCUCACAGGAGACUCUGCUGACCUGCCCUCAGGGACCUAGCAAUUGCUUAAGGCAUCACCUGCCCCGCCCCCCACGUACGACAGGAAGGAAGACGCAGGCAGAGGCCAGCAUCAUCUCAGCGUGGAGAGAGGAGCUGCGGGGAGGCUUCAAUGCUACUGCGCUAAGCCCCCCAGGAAGUAUUGCCCACUCAAAGUGCCCACCCAAAACCAGCCACUCUAGGGGUGGCUGCAACUUGGCACCGGAAUGACCCCAUCUAGAAAGAGGAGCAUGCACGCCCCCUGCUGGCAACUACUCCAGUUACGGUUUUCCUUUCCCUUUUCCUUUUCCUUCUCUGGUCCUGAUUGUCCCCCUCUACCCUCUCUCAUCUCUCAUCUGAGACAGGGUUUUACUGUGUAAUCCAGGUUAGCCUCGAAUUCACAGAGAGCCACCUGCUUCUGCUUCUGCUUCCUGAAUACUAGGCUUACAGUGUGUGCCACCACGCCGGCAAGGGUCCUUGAUAUUUCUUUUUCCCUUGCAGAGAAAGCUGCUUCUACCCUAGCUGGACCUCACAAUAUCCCUGGCAAGGUUUCUGAAGUGGAACUUUACAGCGGUCCAGGGAAUCCUGCCAGGUGUGUAAACAGGACAAAGCAGUUAAUACUUACCGCGUCCCCAUCACUCCUUAGGAUUUCCUAUUGGCCCCUUUAAUCCUCAUACCGUUAGUCUACAGGGACAGGUACCAUUUUAGCCCCAUUUCAUAGAUGUGAGAGCCGAAACACAGACGGGUAAAGCAGCUAGUCCCACAUUGCACAGUGUAUAAGUAGUAGAGUAAGGAUUUGAACCCAGAUGUUCUGGUUUCAGGACUUAACAAUUUUUUAAGGACCACACUAUCCUGCAGGAAAUGCCUUCCUCAUCAUGUGGCUUCUCUUUGGGGCAAGAUAGCUGCUUGAGCUCCGACCAUUACAAAUUAUCUUCCUCAGAUAAUCAGGAAAUAGGAAGGGACAAAACGGGACUCACUUCCUUCUUUUCAUAAACAGAACAACAUUCUGAAGGGUCCCUAUAGACCUCUACUAUUCCUCUUCUGACCACAGCCACAUGGUCAUACUUCUGCCAACAAAUUGUUUUUAUGUUUGUAAUUAUGACAAAUCACUUGCAAAGUUAAAGGAAAGAAUAGUUACUGGGAACAUCUAGCAUACACACACACACACACACACACACACACACACACACACACACACACAAAGAUACUGAAGACUCAGAAAGGCCAGUAAUUAUCUGAAGGUCACAAAGCUGGGAAAGGGUGGAGGUUAGAUGUGUUGUUCCUGGAUGAAACAGGUAUCGCCCCAGAGACAUGCUCAGUGGAGUGCUCAGAGGGAAGGACCUCUCAUUAGACUUCCCGACCUCUAGGACCACCCAGGGCCACUGGUCAGAUCUCCAGUGUCUUCCAGUCCCAGCCACCUCUCUGGCCCAGAACCAGUAUCAUGGUACCAGGCAUGGCCAGCACCGACUCCAUCCAUCCCACUAAAGCCCACAUCAGCUGUGCUCCCUGAAUUUCUGUGGCUGACUCCUGAGAACUGAAUAAUUCAAGCCUAUGUAAUGGGCUAAUGAAUUUACUGACAAGCCAGCGUGGUCGCAGUACUUGCAGUAUAGAAAUACUGAGUCCCAGGCAGGCAGGCAGGCAGGCAGGCAGGCAGGCAGGCAGGCAGGCAGUCCUAACAUGAAGCUGUUGCCCCAGCCCUCCCUAGGGAACUUGGCCUGAUGGAGUAGAAAGCCCACUUCAGCCUCACUGGUUCUUCCUCCUGCUGAGGAGCAUGGUCAGGGGAAGAGGGCUGGUGGGACUUUUGAUGGGGAGUAGAGCCCGAUAGAGCAGCAGACGUGGGAAGGAACACCCAACCCCUCCCCCAUGUGCCCAAGCACCAUGGUUCUUUAUGAGGUAAAUCAGGUUGAGGCACUGUAGCCCUGUCGCUAUUCUGUGUUGGGAAUUUUGGGGUGGCUGUGAGCCCCUGGGGAGGAGACCAGCUUCCUUCCUCCUAACUUGUUCACCUGUUCCCAGCUGUAGAAGGUUCCUGCCGAUGGCUUGCACAAGUCCCUCCCUGGAGAUAACCAACUGCAACCCCUCUCAACCCUGGCAGACUGGAGAGGGGUUGGAAUGGCUGAGGGGGCAGGUCUCUAGCCUGGAGUAGAAUUGAGUUCUGUGAAGCUCUUCAGCUGUGAGACCCUCCCCGCCCCCCUGUGUUCAGGCUCACCCCUCCCUCUCUGCCUCCUGCCUGGAGAGCUGCAUUGCGCAAAGACACUUACUUUCCCUUGGCCCUGGCUCUGCUAUGUGUCAGGAAGUCUUGUCAGCAAUGGGCCUCAGUUUCCCAUUUGUAUGCUGGUGAGAGGAGGCUCUCAGAGUCUCUUCUGACUCAAAAGAAAUGACCCAAGGGGCAGGAAGCUCUCUCUGACCCUGCCCAGCCCUGCAUCACUCCCUCUCAGGCCUCUUCCCGGGAACUCCAGAGAUGCCUCAUUGCUCCCUGCCUGUCAGCAGUGUGACAGACGAGGGGCCAGGAGAAGAUUCCACAAAGGCACAGAUCUGAGGGAGCCACAGCUGAGGUUUGUAGGGGGCAGUAGCCUUGUUACACACUCUAGCCUCAAGCCCCUGGAGAUUAUUGCUGUACUUGUGUGGGGAGCCUUCUCUGAGAGACUAGGGACUCUGGAUAAGGAAAGGGCAUGUGGGCCUUUGACUCAGGAUGGAAGUAAUGGCUUUGUCAGGCACAGAGGCCUAGCUUGCCCCUCUGUCACCGUUGAGCAGAGGCAGAGGUAGGCCAGGGCUGACCAGCUCAGGCAUUAUCUGUGCCCAGGUCCAGGGCAGUACCUCAUGAUUUUGGAACCAUGAAAGGCAGCCUGUUUUCUGGUGGAGCUAGGUUUAAACCCCGGGAGACCUAGCAGGUGUUCCUGCAAGGUACAGGAGUUUGCCACGCCCCUAGGCACUAGGCUCCUGACACACAGGAGGCCUCAGCUCUCCAUAAUUCUGUGACCAUCAGUCAUGUAGGGCAAUGCCCCAAGCGCCUCCACAGGUAGAGGAUGUGACUACAGAUCACAGAGUCUCAAGACAGAUCUCCAUUUUAAUGAGGUACCUAAAGGGCUGAAGGGCUUAGCCAAUUAAACUCUCCUUCCUAGACACUCCUCCCUGCAAAAGGUAUUUAACCUCAGGCCCGCCCUGAGAAAGUGGGGUAUGGUUUCACUCAUCACAACUCUCGGCCAUGACAAUAAACGCUUU